ensembl:lncRNA
UUACAAUAUUCCGAAGAGCACUCGCCCUUCCAGGUUACAGGUUAGGCUACUGGUUACGGAAUGGCCGAUUAAAAAGCGGUCAAAACAUCUUUUUACACAAUAAAAUACAACGAGAAACAGUGUAUAUAUUUUGAAAGGGCGAGAACAACAAAGGAUUUAACGGGGGCGUCCAUCUUGUUUUCCGACUUUGGACACCGACUUUGGACUAUCAACUCUGGUGUGAGGUCAUUCCCAGUUCCACCUUCCGAGACACACACACCAGGAAAGGUAGCUGCCUCCACUGCCACGGCCAAUGUGGAUCCUGUUAAAACCCAAAGAAACAGACACAAAUCAAGCGGUGUACAUAAUUGCGUCUGGGAAAAUAACCAUGUCCUGAUAUGAGGAGGAAGAUAAUGCAGGGAGGUCACCCCAUGUUGAUGACACCAGACCAUAAAACCCGUUAAUUAGUCCCCACUGAGGGUUCCUUACAGGGUGCCAUGUUAUAACAGAGUUUACAAACAGGAGAGGAGGAGCCAAAGUAAAAGUACAACUCAGUGCCUCUCAGUCUCGGUCAGUUUCAGUUCCACCUCAGAUCUCAGGAAGCCUCCCGGUGCCCUGGAACAGACCCCCUCCCCCUCUGUGUCCCCUUCAAACCAGCCCAACAACAGAGAUCAACAGCAGACUGGAACAAGCCCCAGUGAACAGACCACGUUUGAUCCCAAGAGCACCCCCCUGUACUGUACGUGUUGACACAGGAAAGUGGAAAUCAAAGUGCCUCUCGGAGAUGUGGCUAUCCCUUUCCUGUCCAUACUGGGAGGCUGAUGUUGAGUCCUAUCUCAUUUCCCUCUCACUUGCAGCAGGCUACACUCAGAAGUAGACUCACAUAGCGGAAACGUGCUUGAUCCAGUGCUUGUUUCAUCCCUCCCAACUGUCUUUGUGGUUGGGUCAUGGAGAAGACAAGUUCAAUCACCUCAAAUGUACCCUAUAAAGACAAAAGGAAAACGUUUUCAGAAAUGUUUACUCAUUUACUGAAGGUUUGAGUUGCCAAACGUCAGCCUCGAAAUCUUUAUGACUUGGAGAAGAUCUGCAAAGAGGAGUGGGACAAAAUCCCUCCUGAGAUUUGUGCAAACCUGGUGGCCAACUACAAGAAAAUCUGACCUAUUU